rnacentral:rRNA from 1 species
GACGAACGCUGGCGGCGUGCUUAACACAUGCAAGUCGAACGGUGAAGCACCUUCCUUUUGGUGGGUGUGGAUGAGUGGCGAAUGGGUGAGUAACACGUGAGUAACCUGCCCCCUUCUUCUGGAUAACCGCAUGAAAGGGUGGCUAAUACGGGAUAUUCUGGGUCUGUCGCAUGGCGGGCCUGGGAACGAUAUUGUUUCGGGGGGGGACGGGCUCGCGGUCUAUCAGCUUGUUGGUGGGGUGAUGGCCUACCAAGGCGGUGACGGGUAGCCGGCCUGAGAGGGUGGCCGGUCACACUGGGACUGAGACACGGCCCGGACUCGUACAGGAGGCAGCAGUGGGGAAUAUUGCACAAUGGGCUGAAGCCUGAUGCGGCCACGCCGCGGGGGGGAUGGAGGCGUUCGGGUUGUAAACCUCUUUCGCCAGUGAAGCAGGCCUGUCCCUUUUGUGGGUGGGUUGACGGUAGCUUGAUAAGAAGCGCCGGCUAACUACGUG